rnacentral:rRNA from 1 species
AUUGAACGCUGGCGACGUGCUUAACACAUGCAAGUCGUGCGAGAAAGUAGACUUCGGUCUAUGAGUAGAGCGGCGCACGGGUGAGUAACGCGUGGAUGAUCUACCCUUGAGUUCGGGAUAACGGUGCGAAAGCGCCGCUAAUACCGUAUAACAAUCCAUUUCAUCGUGGGUUCAAAGCAGGCCUCUUCGUGAAAGCUUGCGCUUGGGGAUGAGUCCGCGUCCCAUUAGCUUGUUGGCGGGGUAACGGCCCACCAAGGCUACGAUGGGUAGCUGGUCUGAGAGGAUGAUCAGCCACACUGGAACUGAAACACGGUCCAGACUCCUACGGGUGGCUG